rnacentral:rRNA from 1 species
AGUGAACGCUGGCGGUAGGCCUAACACAUGCAAGUCGAACGGCAGCACAGUAAGAGCUUGCUCUUACGGGUGGCGAGUGGCGGACGGGUGAGGAGUACAUCGGAAUCUACUUUUUCGUGGGGGAUAACGUAGGGAAACUUACGCUAGUACCGCAUACGACCUACGGGUGAAAGCAGGGGAUCUUCGGACCUUGCGCGAUUGAAUGAGCCGAUGUCGGAUUAGCUAGUUGGCGGGGUAAAGGCCCACCAAGGCGACGAUCCGUAGCUGGUCUGAGAGGAUGAUCAGCCACACUGGAACUGAGACACGGUCCAGACUCCUACGGGAGGCAGCAGUGGGGAAUAUUGGACAAUGGGCGCAAGCCUGAUCCAGCCAUACCGCGUGGGUGAAGAAGGCCUUCGGGUUGUAAAGCCCUUUUGUUGGGAAAGAAAAGCAGCAGGUUAAUACCCCGCUGUUCUGACGGUACCCAAAGAAUAAGCACCGGCUAACUUCGUG